CCUACGGGAGGCAGCAGUGGGGAAUUUUGGACAAUGGGCGAAAGCCUGAUCCAGCCAUUCCGCGUGAGUGAAGAAGGCCUUCGGGUUGUAAAGCUCUUUCGCAAGGAAAGAAAACUUAUCUCCUAAUACGGGGUGAGGAUGACGGUACCUUGAUAAGAAGCACCGGCUAACUACGUGCCAGCAGCCGCGGUAAUACGUAGGGUGCGAGCGUUAAUCGGAAUUACUGGGCGUAAAGCGUGCGCAGGCUGUUUUGUAAGUCAGAUGUGAAAUCCCUGGGCUCAACCUAGGAACUGCGUUUGAAACUACAAGGCUAGAGUGUAGCAGAGGGGGGUAGAAUUCCACGUGUAGCAGUGAAAUGCGUAGAGAUGUGGAGGAAUACCAAUGGCGAAGGCAGCCCCCUGGGUUAACACUGACGCUCAUGCACGAAAGCGUGGGGAGCAAACAGGAUUAGAUACCCUGGUAGUCCACGCCCUAAACGAUGUCUACUAGUUGUUGGGAGAGUAAAAUCUCUUAGUAACGCAGCUAACGCGUGAAGUAGACCGCCUGGGGAGUACGGUCGCAAGAUUAAAACUUAAAUGAAUUGACGGNUUGNGAGNGCGAGAGACACGAGGAGAG
rnacentral:rRNA from 1 species